AACGGGAAGUUCUGAGAAGUGACUGCCAGAAGCCUGUGUUCUUUGCCCUGUGCAGCUCUGCGCUUCUGAGGAUGUCUCUAGGUGACACAGCAAGGCUGUGGGAUUGGCGAGGGGGCUCCCAAAUGAAGAUCCUCAGUAAACACCUGGAAAACAAGCUUCUCUCCAGCUCGGAUUUCUACUGAGAAGGAAGGGACAGGAUCCUCUCAGCUUGUUCUGAGGCUCCUUGUCACCUGAGACCCUCUUCCAGGGCUCCCUCCCCCGAGCUUCUAAACUCAGGGAUAAAGGGCCUAUUCAUCGGGCCUCCCAGAGCUGGUCUGGAAGCAGCCAGUGGUUAGUACCCCCUCCUCGAGCCUGUCUUCCCUGCCCCUCCCUCUGGACUUGACACCUGGUAUCUCUUUCUCGUGUCCAUGAGCCCAGGGCACGUGAGGCCCAGGUGGGCAUGGUAUCUCUUUCUCCCUAAACUGUCCCCAAAGCAGGCACAAUUUUGUGUGCUGCCCGCCCCCACUGUCAGUGCACUCUUCCAAGGGUUCCUGUGGAAUCCAGGCUCCAGUAAACACCCAAAGAGGAGGAAGUGGGCCAAGCAAUGAGCCUGCGAUUGCAUCAGGGCUGACGCACUCCCUGCCUUUUCCCCCACCUCAGUCUCCAGAGGAGCUCCCUGGGGCCAGGCCCAGCCCAGGAGAGAGGCUCAGGCCAAGGUGAAGAAGGGGAUGCUGGGGAGGGAUGCAGAUUAAAUUGCACUCUCCUUGGCUUGGGAAAGAAACAGCCAACAGAUUUGAAAGCUGGAGGUGAUGCAAAGAAGCCAAGGAGAAACAUGAAAACUCAAAUGUGCCCUGAACCAGUCUCAACCCCCAAGUCAAGGAAUGUAAAGGAACUUCCCUGGUGGCGCAGUGGUUAAGAAUCCGCCUGCCAAUGCAGGGGACACAGGUUCGAGCCCUGGUCCAGGAAGAUCCCACAUGCCAUGGAGCAACUAAGCCGGUGCACCACAACUACUGAGCCUGUGCUCUAGAGCCUGCAAGUCACAACUACUGAGCCUGCGUGCUGCAACUACUGAAGCCUGUGUGCCUAGAGCCUGUGCUCCACAACAAGAGAAGCUACCACAAUGAGAAUCCACAGCAAGAGAAGCCACCACAAUGAGAAGCCCGUGCACUGCAACGAAGAGUAGCCCCCGCUCUCCACAACUAGAGAAAGCCCGCGCACAGCAACGAAGACCCAAUGCAGCCAAAAACAAAUAAGAUUUAAUAAAUAAAUAAAUAAAUAAAUAAAUAAAUAAAUCCUGCUUAAAAAAAAAAAAGAUCUUCAUUUCAGAGCUACCCCAUUUCACAGAUGAGGAUAGAGGUUCAGUCCUGAAGUUAAGCCGUCUGUCCAAGGUCACAAAGCUAACAGUGAGAACAAGAGCCUGCAGUUUUGAAAUAAACUCUGUAGAGUCAG